AGCACCGGCUAACUCCGUGCCAGCAGCCGCGGUAAUACGGAGGGUGCGAGCGUUAAUCGGAAUUACUGGGCGUAAAGCGCAUGCAGGUGGUUUGUUAAGUCAGAUGUGAAAGCCCGGGGCUCAACCUCGGAAUUGCAUUUGAAACUGGCAGACUAGAGUACUGUAGAGGGGGGUAGAAUUUCAGGUGUAGCGGUGAAAUGCGUAGAGAUCUGAAGGAAUACCGGUGGCGAAGGCGGCCCCCUGGACAGAUACUGACACUCAGAUGCGAAAGCGUGGGGAGCAAACAGGAUUAGAUACCCUGGUAGUCCACGCCGUAAACGAUGUUUACUUGGAGGUUGUGGCCUUGAGCCGUGGCUUUCGGAGCUAACGCGUUAAGUAGACCGCCUGGGGAGUACGGUCGCAAGAUUAAAACUCAAAUGAAUUGACGGGGGCCCGCACAAGCGGUGGAGCAUGUGGUUUAAUUCGAUGCAACGCGAAGAACCUUACCUACUCUUGACAUCCAGAGAACUUUCCAGAGAUGGAUUGGUGCCUUCGGGAACUUUGAGACAGGUGCUGCAUGGCUGUCGUCAGCUCGUGUUGUGAAAUGUUGGGUUAAGUCCCGCAACGAGCGCAACCCUUAUCCUUGUUUGCCAGCGAGUAAUGUCGGGAACUCCAGGGAGACUGCCGGUGAUAAACCGGAGGAAGGUGGGGACGACGUCAA
rnacentral:rRNA from 1 species